GAUUAACGCUGGCGGCGUGCCUAACACAUGCAAGUCGAGCGGCAGCGAGUUUUACACUGAAUUCUGGAAGCUUCUAGUUGAAAGAGAAGAUUUAUUCAAGAAUUUUGUGUAAAAUGUCGGCGAGCGGCGGACGGCUGAGUAACGCGUGGGAACGUACCCCAAAGUGAGGGAUAACGCAUCGAAAGGUGUGCUAAUACCGCAUAUGGUCUUCGGAUUAAAGCCUUCGGGCGCUUUGGGAACGGCCUGCGUAAGAUUAGAUAGUUGGUGGGGUAAUGGCCUACCAAGUCGACGAUCUUUAACUGGUUUGAGAGGAUGAUCAGUCAGACUGGAACUGAGACACGGUCCAGACUCCUACGGGAGGCAGCAGUGAGGAAUCUUCCACAAUGGGCGAAAGCCUGAUGGAGCAACGCCGCGUGCAGGAUGAAGGCCUUCGGGUUGUAAACUGCUUUUAUAAGUGAGGAUUAUGACAGUAACUUAUGAAUAAGGAUCGGCUAACUACGUGCCAGCAGCCGCGGUCAUACGUAGGAUCCGAGCGUUAUCCGGAGUGACUGGGCGUAAAGAGUUGCGUAGGUGGUUCAAUAAGCGAAUAGUGAAAGCUGGUGGCUCAACCAUUCAGACUAUUAUUCGAACUGUUGAACUCGAGAGCAGAAGAGGUAGCUGGAAUUUCUAGUGUAGGAGUGAAAUCCGUAGAUAUUAGAAGGAACACCGAUGGCGUAGGCAGGCUACUGGGCUGUUUCUGACACUGAGGCACGAAAGCGUGGGGAGCGAACCGGAUUAGAUACCCGGGUAGUCCACGCCGUAAACGAUGGAUACUAGCUGUUUGGGGUAUCGACCCCCUGAGUAGCGAAGCUAACGCGUUAAGUAUCCCGCCUGUGGAGUACGAUCGCAAGAUUAAAACAUAAAGGAAUUGACGGGGACCCGCACAAGCGGUGGAUCAUGUUCUUUAAUUCGAUGAUAACCGAUAAACCUUACCAGGUCUUGACAUCCUUGGAAUCUUUCAGAAAUGAGAGAGUGCUUUUUAAGAGCCAAGUGACAGGUGAUGCAUGGCCGUCGUCAGCUCGUGUCGUGAGAUGUUUGGUUAAGUCCAUCAACGAGCGCAACCCUCGUCAGUAGUUGUAUUUUUCUACUGAGACUGCCCCGGUAACGGGGAGGAAGGAGGGGAUGACGUCAGGUCAGUAUUUCCCUUACGUCCUGGGCUAGAAACGUGAUACAAUGGCUAGUACAAUGCGCAGCGAAGCCGCGAGGUGAAGCAAAUCGCAUCAAAGCUAGUCCCAGUUCGGAUUGUAGGCUGAAACUCGCCUGCAUGAAGUCGGAAUUGCUAGUAAUCGCAGAUCAGCAUGCUGCGGUGAAUACGUUCCCGGGUCU
rnacentral:rRNA from 1 species